CAGGUCCUGGAGUCUCCUUUAUUCACGACUCACCCAUUAGACAAGACUACCAUCCAAAUCGCUGUCAAGAGAAAACUUCUAGUAGAAAUUCAUUUCAGAGCUUAAUAAAGCCCGACAUCACCAAAGUGGAGCUUUUAAAAGAUGUUCAAAGCA